GCGACCCCGGCGGACACGGCCGAGCUCAGGCCCCGACCCGGAAGCGGAGCUGCUCAAGCGGGAAGCCGGUCCAGAGGGGGCGGGGGAGCAUCGCGCAGGCGCCGGCUCAGCCUCGGCACGCCCCGCCCCUGCCCAGGCGACGGCCAAUGUUACAGGUGUACUUGUGACCAGCAGCACUUCCUCAGAGACGCCUUUGCUGUUCAGCAGUGCUCUAGCAGAGCAGCAAUUAGUGCCACUACACACGUGGCUGUUGUGAGGGUGUUCCCAUCCUUAAACCUGCACUGUUUAUGGUGAGUUCUGAAGCCAGGAGAGGAGGAGUCCAGUCAGGUUCCAAAGCAGUACUCUGAAAGAAAGAAGCACUGAAAUCAAUUUGCCAGUGACACAUGCAUGGAAAAGGAUAAAGUGAGACCUUAUCUGGGCAGAGAAUCAUGGAGAAUGGAAGGAGAAAGGAAGUUUGGAUGUAUGCGAAGCUGCAAUGGUGCUCAAGUAUAUUGAUGUGAAAGAGUAAAGGAGAAGAAAGGGGGAAAGGCAGGUGGUAUGGCAGACACAUGGGGCAUAUGAUGGAGUAGGAAAAGCAGAGGGAUGAUGAGUGAAGCAGUUGCCACAAAUAAGGAAGCAAAUGUGGAAGAGCUGGAACAGUAAUUUGAAAAGUUGGAGACAUAUGGAUGAUUUUCAGGAGCACAGAGAUAUGGGGAAUGCAGAAAGCAUGAGCUGCUGAAGAUUAGCAGGAUUAGGGGCUCCUGUGAGCCAGGAGAUCAGGGUCUCAGCAGGUUUUCAGUGCUUUGCCCUUUGUUUACAUAGCAGUGUGGAUGGGAGGGGUGGAAGUGCCCACUGCUUGGGAUAGGGGAACAGUCUUCCUGACACCCUGGGACUGUUCUGUCCAACAGCCGAGUCACAGCAGCCACUGUGUAGAUAAAGCAGGUUCUUCCCAAAAGCCUCAGGAAGGUCUGAAAAUGUACAGCCCCCAUAAAAAUUAAAAUUGAUAGCUGGAGGUGUAUAGUUGGAAGGAGGGCAAGGUAAUUCUAUUAGAGAAGCUUGAAAAUAGUGAUCUUAUUUGCAUGCAGAUGACCAAGUAUGCAUAGUCCUUAUUUAAUGAUUGUAUUUCAAGUAAUAGAGUCAGCAAUGAAAAACAAGUGGUGAAGUAUUACAAUGUUUGGUUGAGUCAUUGAAUUGCCUGUGACCUCAGAGCUAAGACUAACCUGGACUGUGGGGGUGAUCCUAAUUACAACCUUACUAUUAGAUAUGCAAUUACCAAUCUAUAAUUACGAGCUAAAUUUUAGAACACUGACUGUUACUCUGUUUACAGUGAAAUCUGGCUUCUGAAUAUAAGAAUAUUACUAAAUGUGACAAAAUUAAAAAUAAAUUCAUUCUUCAGUGAACAAAAUAUAUCUUUAAAUACUUUCUCUGAAAAAGUAAGUAAAACACCCAGUCGUGUUUCAUGAAAAGUAAUGAUUAUCGUUAGAUACUAAUUACCCUUACUGUGAAAAAGAUCAUAUAGCAACAGAAGGCUGGUUAACCAUGGUGGCAUCUCUGUGAUAACUCAACAAUCUUAAAGGCAGGAAGGCAAAAAGGAAACUUUUUACUAAGAAUCCUGUAUUAAAGAUAUCCUGUCAGCCUUAUGCAUGAGAUGGAUUCUUUCUAGCAGAACAUUUCAUAGGUAAGGGGGCCAUCCUAAAGGCUCAUGAGGCUCUGGAUGCAACAUCUGCCCAUUCCUUAUGCCACUCACGUGAACCAGUCUGACAUGCUGGACUUCCUGCUGCUGUAGAGUGCAUGCUGCAUGGCAUGUCCAGUGAGGUCAGUCUCCCUGAGGAUCCCACUUGUGUGCAGGAGGUUCAGGGCCUCUGACAGAGAGCAUCACAUGGCUUGGCUGUGUGCUUGCAUGAUUGCUAAAUGUAGUGUAAGACAGGCAACAAGAGAAUGGGGGAGAUGAGGAGCAGGUUUUUCCUUUCAGUCACAACUUGGUCUUCAAAGUGUCAGCAUGACAUGAAGCUGCACCAUGAGUCAGAACCUCCUGAGCACUACUUGUGGCCUCCAUAUCAACUCCAGUGAUGGCUGCAAGCAGCUAAAUUAACUGCAGGGUUGGUAUCUGUGAGGUACAAAGUGUGGUAGCUAGGUGCUUGAGAGCACUCUAAGUUUCAAUUAUAAUGUUUGCUAACUAUUAAUUAAGUGUUUUAAGUUUGAAAGUGUUGAUUAGAAAUGCCUGAAUGUUGAAUCAUUGUGUUCUAGUUGUACACUGUUGCAUGUCCCAAAGAUUCAUUCAACCAACAAUCAACAGAUUUAUAUAUCCAAAAAUCAAGACAGCAGAGUGUUGCAGUCAGCAACCUCAGGAUCUCGUCCAGGGAAGCAGCAGGAUUCUGGGGACCAGCAUGGAACACCAACUGAAAUGGGCUCCUGUUCAUGAAACCAUUUAUUCAGCAUGAGAACAAGCUCAGGCCAAGAACAGAGAGCUCCGAACAGAGGCACAGCAGGGGUUUUUGAGGGACAGAACCCCCAGGGUCUCUACCCUUGAGGGUGGAGUUCAGGGUCAGGGACC